UACGGAGGGAGCUAGCGUUGUUCGGAAUUACUGGGCGUAAAGCGCACGUAGGCGGCUUUUUAAGUCAGGGGUGAAAUCCCGGGGCUCAACCCCGGAACUGCCCUUGAAACUGGAGAGCUAGAAUCUUGGAGAGGCGAGUGGAAUUCCGAGUGUAGAGGUGAAAUUCGUAGAUAUUCGGAAGGACACCAGUGGCGAAGGCGACUCGCUGGACAAGUAUUGACGCUGAGGUGCGAAAGCGUGGGGAGCAAACAGG
rnacentral:rRNA from 1 species